rnacentral:rRNA from 1 species
CCUACGGGAGGCAGCAGUAGGGAAUUUUCGUCAAUGGGCUCAAGCCUGAACGAGCGAUGCCGCGUGAGUGAAGAAGGCCUUCGGGUCGUAAAGCUCUGUUGCGGGGGAAAAAAGGCAGCAUCAGGAAAUGGGUGCUGACUGAUGGUGCCCCGCCAGAAAGUCACGGCUAACUACGUGCCAGCAGCCGCGGUAAUACGUAGGUGGCGAGCGUUAUCCGGAAGGAUUGGGCGUAAAGGGUGCGCAGGCGGUCCUGCAAGUCUGGAGUGAAACGCAUGAGCUCAACUCAUGCAUGGCUUUGGACACUGGAGGACUGGAGAGCAGGAGAGGGCGGUGGAACUCCAUGUGUAGCGGUAAAAUGCGUAGAUAUAUGGAAGAACACCAGUGGCGAAGGCGGCCGCCUGGCCUGUUGCUGACGCUGAGGCACGAAAGCGUGGGGAGCAAAUAGGAUUAGAUACCCCAGUAGUC